UCAAGCUUCCUUUGAGACCAUGAGAUCCUGGUGUGACCAAGCUUCUGGGAUCCUGGCAUACUGGAAUCCUAAGAUCCUGGGCAUGUUAGAGUGCCUGGAAGUUGUAUGUCUUCUGGGGACCAUGAUGCUGUCUGCUGAGUUUGAAACCAAGGAAUGUUCAUCUGGACCUCUGAAUGCCAUCCUCUGAGAAGAAGCCCAUGACAGCAAGCACGCUGGAGCGCAACACCAUCCUGGGUGAAGAUUUGCUGCAAUUGAAUGUGGAUGUGCUGAUCUCUGUGCUCCUGGAUAUGGAGCUGUUAAUCUCUCCUCCAGAGCUGGAUGCAGGCCCAGGCUGCCAUGUAGCACUGAGUGAUGCCAUGCCAAUUCCAGACAAGGUCUUUAUUGCUGGAAAUGUUGCAUAAUGACAGUUUUAUUCAUGUGAAAACGCAGAAUACAUUUCAACUGUAUGAAAUUGUUUAUGUUCAUCAGAAAUGUUAUUUGUCUUCACAAAGUCUGGUUUCAAUGAACCAGCUAUGUAAUGGAUAUUAAAUAAACAUGGAAUUUUACAUGUUCAUAA